rnacentral:rRNA from 1 species
UACGAAGGGGGCUAGCGUUGCUCGGAAUCACUGGGCGUAAAGCGCACGUAGGCGGAUUGUUCAGUCCGGGGUGAAAUCCUGGAGCUCAACUCCAGAACUGCCUUUGAUACUGGCGAUCUCGAGUCCGGGAGAGGUGAGUGGAACUGCGAGUGUAGAGGUGAAAUUCGUAGAUAUUCGCAAGAACACCAGUGGCGAAGGCGGCUCACUGGCCCGGUACUGACGCUGAGGUGCGAAAGCGUGGGGAGCAAACAGG